rnacentral:lncRNA from 1 species
GUUAACCUUACCAUUGCUACUGACCUAGGAUAUCAGUACAACCAAUGUUUGGUACCAUACAAAAGUUCAAAUAAGCAAACUACUAAUAAAGUUUAAAAACACUAUAGCAUUUAAACUCUUAUUUAAAGCAAGUCACACAAAAAUGUCAAGUACAUGUGAAAUUAUAUCAUGGUUCUAAGACAUCUGAGGGUUACUCACUUUGGG